AUGGAGUUCCUUUGCAAUUUAAUUGGGUUCUGUUCUAGGCAGAGAAGGGUUAGAGAAAAUAAUGUGUGUGUGUGUGUGAGAGAGAGAGAGAGAGGAAUAGUUAGAACAGAAUUUGGGUUCUGUCCUAGACAGAGAAGUGUUUAG
rnacentral:rRNA from 1 species